GGCAGCGUAGCUCAGCGGCAGAGCGGCGGCUUCAUAAGCCGUGGGUCGUAGGUUCAAAUCCUACCGCUGCCA
rnacentral:tRNA from 1 species